CCAGUACAGUCAGUUCUGCUUGAUCCUCAAACGUAGUGUCGUCUCGUUAUUGGGGGAAUUGGAUUGUAUGCUGAUUGCCAGGAGUGUAAGCUGAUUGUAUGCUUUUCCUGUUCAGCUGCUUACAGCAUUCAUAUGCUUGAGAGCAUUCGUAUGCUUCUACGGUUCGGUGGUUGUGGUGUCUGCUGCAAUGCUUGGAAUCCUCAGGAAGCGCUAGGAGCAUCCUUCAACGUAGGUACCCAGUCUGGGUGCCAGGUGAUCCGUUACAAUGAGCAUAGAAGCAUUGUGCCCAAAAAUGUGGAUCAAGUGGUGAGGAUAUAGCUUAUUAUAAC